rnacentral:rRNA from 1 species
GAUGAACGCUAGCGGGAGGCCUAACACAUGCAAGCCGAGCGGUAUUGUUUCUUCGGAAAUGAGAGAGCGGCGUACGGGUGCGGAACACGUGUGCAACCUGCCUUUAUCUGGGGGAUAACCUUUCGAAAGGAAGAUUAAUACUCCAUAACAUAUUGAACGGCAUCGUUUAAUAUUGAAAGCUCCGGCGGAUAGAGAUGGGCACGCGCAAGAUUAGCUAGGUGGUGAGGUAACGGCUCACCAAGGCGAUGAUCUUUAGGGGGCCUGAGAGGGUGAUCCCGCACACUGAUACGGAGGGACGGACCAGAGUCCUCCGGGAGGCAGCAGUGAGGAAGAUUGGUCGAUGGGUGCAAGCCUGAACCAGCCAUCCCGCGUGAAGGACGACUGCCCUAUGGGUUGUAAACUUCUUUUGUAUAUGGAUAAACCUACUCUCGUGAGGGUAGCUGAAGGUACUAUACGAAUAAGCACCGGCUAACUCCGUGCCAGCGGCCGCCGUAAGAC